UGCAGUUUUGCAAAAUACACUAAUUUCGAUACUGCCAAAAAGGCUUCUAAUCCUAGUACAUAAUGUAUUCAAAAAAUGAGAGUGAACUCUCUGCUCUUCCUGUCUGACGCCUGUGAACGUGACUGAGGUGUUCAGUUUUUUGUUGCUUAGUUAUUCCUUGAGGUAGCAUCUUGUUCUUCCUGCUGGCGACCUGAACGCAUUGUUCACUGUGAUCACCAGAGAACGAGGCUUCCUGCUUGACAGCUCUGCAACCUGAAACGCUUCCUCAAGAAACAACAAACCGCUUCAAUUUGAGGCAACAGCACCAUCAGCUGCUUCAUAUGACGAUUAUGGAGAAGUUGGUUCUCAUCCUUAGCUGUCUGCUUGUCAGGUCAUAGAGAUGAGCAGCAAUGCAGGAAAAGACUGGAUUGUAUUUCCAACCUCUGGGGUCUUUUAAAAUAUGCUGGGCACCUAUUCACUGGAAUGAACUGAUCGUACUGCAUUCCUCAGCAUUCGUAGUGCUGGAGACAUUACUAUUAGAAAUGCAUUCAUAUCUGUGCCCCUCACUCCCGUUUCUCUCCAUUCAGCUCAAGCAGAACAGACUGCAGAACCCCCGGUCUUUACAAAGAGUCACAUUAAUUUGGUUGUCUCACUGUGGAUCAGUGAUUUGAUCAACCAUCACAACCUUGUGAAUAGUCUGUGCUGAAUUUGCAGUGUAAAAAGGGAAAAAAAAAUAUUCAAUACUCUCACAAGGUUAUCUGUUUUGUUGACAAUUUGGUCAGUCAAUCUUAGACAGAUAUGAAAGCUACCUUAACCUACUGAAUAAAAUAAUUUAUUUGUGAGAAUUUAGGCACGAGAUAAAACAGGUUAUUCUGUUUGUUUUC